rnacentral:rRNA from 1 species
AUUGAACGCUGGCGGUAGGCUUAACACAUGCAAGUCGAGCGAGCGGCGGACGGGUGAGUAAUGUAUGGGGAUCUGCCUGAUGGAGGGGGAUAACUACUGGAAACGGUAGCUAAUACCGCAUACCAUCAGAUGUGCCCAUAUGGGAUUAGCUAGUAGGUGGGGUAAUGGCUCACCUAGGCGACGAUCCCUAGCUGGUCUGAGAGGAUGAUCAGCCACACGGGAACUGAGACACGGCCCAGACGCCUACGGGAGGCAGCAGUGGGGAAUAUUGCACAAUGGGCGCAAGCCUGAUGCAGCCAUGCCGCGUGUAUGAAGAAGGCCUUCGGGUUGUAAAGUACUUUCAGUGGGGAGGCGUUACCCGCAGAAGAAGCACCGGCUAACUCCGUGCCAGCAGCCGCGGUAAUAC